rnacentral:rRNA from 1 species
AGCCACCGCGGUUAUACGAGAGGCCCAAAUUGAUGAAAGACGGCGUAAAGCGUGGUUAAGAAAAUAAGAGAAAAUAUGGCCGAACAGCUCCAAAGCAGUUAUACGCAUUCGAAGCCACGAAGAACAACCACGAAAGUUGCCCUAAAACCUCUGAUUCCACGAAAGCCAUAAAACAAACUGGGAUUAGAUACCCCACUAUGUAUGGUCGUUAACAUCGAUGGUUUUAUACCCAAACCAUCCGCCUGGGAACUACGAGCAAUAGCUUAAAACCCAAAGGACUUGGCGGUGCUUUAGACCCCCCUAGAGGAGCCUGUUCUAGAACUGAUAACCCCCGUUUAACCUCACCAUCCUUUGUUUCCCCCGCCUAUAUACCACCGUCGUCAGCUUACCCUGUGAAGGAAAAAUAGUAAGCAUAAAUGGCAAAGCCAAAAACGUCAGGUCGAGGUGUAGCGAAUGGGAUGGGAAGAAAUGGGCUACAUUCUCUAUCACAGAGAAUACGAAUUGUAAUUUGAAAAAAUUACCUGAAGGAGGAUUUAGCAGUAAGUAGGGACUAGAGUGCCCCACUGAAAACGGCCCUGAAGCGCGCACACACCGCCCGUCACUCUCUCCAAAUAAACCCUAGAUAUUACCUAAAAUGCUUUUUAUAAUAAGGGGAGGCAAGUCGUAACAUGGUAAG